rnacentral:snRNA from 1 species
AUCAUUUCUCAGCCUUUUGACUAAGAUCAAAUACAGUAUCUGUUCUUAUCAGUUUAAAAAUUGACCAUAUACUACUUAAAUUUUUAGUACACACACACACACGUU